AGCUAGCAGGAACCACCAGCACUAGAAGAAAAGCUUGAUUUGUUCCUUCUUUCCUUCUUCUUUGUAAAACCCCUUACAGUGUGCUAUUUAGUCCAUUCAGAAUCCCUCUGAAUCUAACACUAGAUUCUGUGCCAAACCAAGAAAGGAGCUUUCAUCAAGCACUGAAUCACUGCUGCAAGUCGUUACUGUUUCACUCCUUGCUGCCCAUCCAUAAUGUGCAUGUUCCCUGUUGGCCACCUCACCUAUUCAAGCCAAACAACCCAAUUCUUUCAACUGUUUCUUGUAGGAGAGGCGCCCCAUUCCUCUGUUCUUCAUGGUUCACCUCUGGAGUCACUCCAACAGGUCCAUGUUCUUCCUGUGCUGGCAUCCCAGGCUGACUGCAGCUCUGCAGGUGGGGUCUCAGCAGAGCAGAGAAGAGGAGCAGAAAGUCUGAAAUGAUUCAAAUUAAUUUUUAGCUUGUGUCAACAUGACUGUGACAAUUUCAAGUAAACCUAUUAGAGUAAAGGAGUUUACUGAACUACCAACUACAAUUGAACUGUAGGAUUCAGGGGAAGAAAAGAUGAAAAAUGAAAAUUGCUUGACAUCAGAGAAGAAACAAGAAUAAAAUAGUUUACAUAUAUAUAAAAGCCUUAGUUGAAAGUAAUACUAGAGAUGCCACAGAGAUAUUAUGUAAGCCAACAAUACAGCUCCACCUUGAAUGCCAAUGAUUUCUGGUUAUCCUGCCCAUAAAUUAUAAAAAACCUGAAAUAUUCAGAGAAAAAUGACAAAAAAGAUAAGCAAAAAGAGGGUCCAUAGAAAGUGCAUUGAAAAUAUGAGUUAAAGGCACUGUGACAAAGGCGUGGAAAAUGAUGCUUCUAUCCAUGUGCUCUCAAAACAUAUAGAGAUUUCUGCUAAAAUAAAAUGAAGAGUUUCUGUAAGACGAGAUAUACUUCUUAAACCAAAGGGUUAGGAAGGCUACAUAUUAUGCAGGUUAUGACAUUAUUUUCUGGCAAAUUUUUUUUACAAUUUUUUGGGAGCAACUGACCCAGGCCAUCAUAAAUGAGUCCCAGAGCACUUGAAAGAAGAAAGAGAGAACACAAAAAAAUAUAAGAUAUGGUCUUAAUUCUGUUUUUUUCUUUUGAUAAGGUUUAUUAAAUUAUUAUAAUUUAAUAAGUAUACUUGGUGUGGUUUUGCUAACACAUUAAGAUUCCGUAGAUUUCUAUAUCAUGUUAGUUUGAUACACUUCCUUCAAAUUCCUCUUUAUUGUCAGAAAUAUUAUUUCUCAAUAUUUUCCUCAUUUUCAUAUUUCUAUUCCUCAGAUCCUUCUGUGAAUUCCUUUCAGAAUAAUUGAAACUUCCAAUACAGCUUGAUAAAUUCAGUUAUUGUGUAAUCAAAUCGCUGUAUGGUGGCCAUGUUCUCCUCCAGAAUGGCUUUUUCUUUAAUCGCUACAUAGGAAUUAGAAAUGUCUUUCUGCUGUUUGUCACUUUAUUAAGUAUGGCCCUUGCCCAAAUCUUUGAAAUCCUUGAAAUACUGUUGUUAAAUCAGUAUUGAUCAUCAUGGCACCCUGUCACCGACUUAGCGGAUUUUCCCACUGAUUUUGAUAAACGUGCACAAACCUUUCAGAGAGCAAAAUUCAGACCAGUGUAAAAAGGCUUGAUAAUUAUGAAAGCUUCUUCUGAAUCUUGCUUUAUUAAAAAAAAUAUAAAAUUAAUUUAUUACUUUCUUCUGUUCCAGGCAUAAGAAAGAUUGUAAAGUGUUAGUGGGUUUCACUGAAUGAAUAGCCACAAUAAUUAAAUACAAAUGUAAAAGAAAAAAAAAA